rnacentral:tRNA from 1 species
UGCGCCCGUAGCUCAGAUGGAUAGAGCGUUAGGUUGCGGACCUAAAGGCCACAGGUUCGAGUCCUGUCGGGCGCAU